CAAGGAUUUAAAAACCGGACCGGACCGGCCGGUCGGAUCGGUCGGACCGUGAACCGUGCACCAGACGCAAAGGGAUUUGCUGCAGCCGACGAAUUGCUCCGACGUCACAAGUUGAAACGGUCGUUGAUUCAUCAGUUGCCGACGACCGUUUAAGGACGCCUGCCGACGACGACAAAGCUGCCGAGGGGUGUUGGUUUGCAGGCUCACAAGACAGCAGUUUCACGGCUAUAUUGCAACAUUUGACGGCGACUUCUCAGACUCAGACGGCGGCCGACGACGACGAGGUUCCGUUGCUGUUGUGACCGGCGAAUUCUCAGGCAACGACGGGAAGCUGGUGUGUAUCCAGUGCUUUGAAACAGUAUUGAAACUAAACCUUGGUGGUGCUAAUCAUGGCUGAAUGGUGUAUUGGUUUGAGCUGCUGUGUUCUAUGUUUUGAUGCCACGUUAUCAGGGAAAUUGCUGUUGUGUUGGAGUAGGGGAGAAUAAAAGGCAUAUCUACUAAUUACUGUUUACUAUUAAGUUAACAUGAGAGGUGUGUAAUGGGGUUCAAUUGAUUCGAAGGAAGGCUGCCAUAUGAAAAACCUUGUAGGAAUGUAGUUAUUGAAAUGUGUUAAAUACUUUUCAUUUUCUUGGUCUACCUUCUUAAAAAAAUAAACUAAAAAAUUUCUUGUUUGGUUUCCGAGGUGGAAAUAACAUGCUAGUCCGGUACUUCAGAAUUCUGAUUUUUCUUUCAUGUUUUAAGACAAGUAAAUACUUGGGAGGUCCUUGCUGGUUUUCUUUGGUUUCACAUGGUGAACUGACCGAUCUGCAAUGUAGGAUGCUGGGAGAGGAUUCCAUCAAUGAUAGCUGGCUUUUCUUUUGUUUGGUAGUGUAAGCUCUUGUAUUCUUUUUUCAUUUGUCGAUUUUAUUGUAAUGUAUAUGGACAUCCAGCUUGUAUGGAUGUUCAUGAUGUCUUUAUUUGGAUAUUAGGGAACUGCUCUGAGGGAAUCUACUGUUUAUUUUUAUACA